rnacentral:rRNA from 1 species
GAUGAACGCUGGCGACAGGCUUAACACAUGCAAGUCGAGGGGAAACGACGGGGAAGCUUGCUUUCCCGGGCGUCGACCGGCGCACGGGUGAGUAACGCGUAUCCAACCUGCCUCUGACUGAGGGAUAACCCGGCGAAAGUACGCCUAAUACCCCAUGGUACCACCUGCGGGCAUCCAACGACGUUUAAAGAUUUCCGCGGUCAGGGAUGGGGGUGCGUUUGAUUAGCUGGUUGGCGGGGUAACGGCCCACCAAGGCUACGUUCAGUAGGGGUUCUGAGGGGCAGGUCCCCCACAAUGGAACUGCGACCCAGUCCACACUGCUACGGAGGGCAGCAGUAUGGUAUAUUGGUCAAUGAGCGAUAGCCUGACCCAACCACGUAGGGGGCAGGAAGCCGGCCGUAUUGGUUGUAAUCUGCUUUUAUGCGGGAAUAAAGGGAUGGACGUGUGCCUCAUUGCCGGUACCGCAUGAAUAAGCACCGGCUAAUUCCGUG